rnacentral:rRNA from 2 species
GACGAACUGAGGCGGCGAGCAAAAAUACAAGCAAGACGAAUGAAUACAGGUAAUGAAAGUAGCUAGCAACAUGAAUAUCAAAGAGAGUGAGAGGCGAACAUGGAGAUAAACACUAGGGAAACUAGCCCUGAAGCGGGGGUAAACACCGGGAAACAGAUGUAAUAACCGCUAAACUUUUAGGACCGCUAGGUCCGAGUUUGUAAAGAAGGUUACGGUAUUCAUUGUAGGUAGGACCCGCUGCGUUUAAGUAAGUAGUGGGGUAAACGGUACACCAAGGCAAAGAUACUAAGCCGACUAGAGAGGGUAUACGGCCACAUGGGAUAGAGACACGGCCCAAAUACUAACGGGAGGCAGCAGAAGGGAUCUAACCACAUAGGACGAAAUAUAGAAGGAGCAACGCCGCGAGAUUGUAGGAGGGUUUUCGGUUCUUAAAUCUUUUUGUUUAAGGAUG